AUUGAACGCUGGCGGCAGGCCUAACACAUGCCAGUCGAGCGGACGAAGGGGGAUUGCUCCUCUCUUCAGCGACCGACGGACGAGUAAUUCAUACGAAGAUACCUUGUAGAGGGGGAUAACGUCCGGACACGGGCGCUAAUACCACAUCCGUUAAGAGGGAGAACCGGAGGGAUCAUCAGACCUCAAGGUAUUUGCUGACCCUAGGACGGAUUUGCUAGUUGGUGGGGUAAAGGCCUAACAAGGCGACGAUCCGUAACCGGUCUGAGAGGAUGAUCAGUCACACUGGAACUGAGACACGGUCCAGACUCCUACGGGAGGCAGCAGUAGGGAAUAUUGGACAAUGGGCGAAAGCCUGAUCGAGCCAUGCCGCGUGUGUGAAGAAGGUCUUCGGAUUGUAAAACUCUUUUAUUUGGGAGGAAGAGCAGUAAAUGAAACCCUGGCUGUUUUGACGUUACCAACAGAAUAAGCAACGGCUAACUUCGUG
rnacentral:rRNA from 1 species